rnacentral:lncRNA from 1 species
UCCAUGCGAUGUGUUCCCAGGAAAACUGCUUCACCUCUCAGAGCCUUGGCUUACUUGGUGAUACAAGUUUUUGUCGUUAGGAAAACUACAUGAGAUAAUCCCUGCACAAUGCAUUUAGCACAGUGCCAGGCACUGCAGGGCUCAGUAAAUGUGACUUUCCCCAGUGCAUGGAUUGUUGAGGGACCUACAUCCCCGCACUUACACACACUCCCUAGAGGUCCCAAGAGGCCCAGGCUUUUGGGAGGGAGUUUGGAGAGGGGCCCCAGCUCCAGCCCCAAAGCAAGAGUGCAAGACACCCCUUCCAGCCCCAGCUCCCUUCCAGUGCCCAGGUGCUCUUAGGGUCUGUGAUGUCCAGGGUCUCACAGGGUUCUGGGCUGGAGCUGGAGGGGGUUGAGGGGUGGGCCCCAGCAGAGGCCUCAUGCUCCCCUUCUCCCAGGCCCCUUCCAGAGGCACUGGGCCAGAUCAAAGGGACCCAGCACGGAGGAUCAGGAGGCAGCUUGGAAAGAAUGUAAACAUGAGGAUAUUUUUAAACUUUUUCCAGCCCCAGCGAUUAGGGCUCUUGAAGCCGGAGGCCCAGAGGUCAGUCUGGCCCUCACCCACAAAGAAAGCAACAGUCUCGGGCCCUCAGAGACCCCACCCCACCCACAUCUACCUACACCCACCCAGGACUCUAGCUGGGGCCUCGGGGCAGAAGUUCUUCCUAGGGUGUCACCUCCAGACACACUGCUGCGGCGGGAGGAUGCGUUUCUAAUAAUUUUGGCCAGAAACAAGAGGAGUCCUGUCCGAGGAGAGCCCGGCUGGCUGACUGGAAUCCCAAGACAUGCCAAGGUCCCUGGGAAAUGACAGGACACCCAGAUCUGCUGGGAGCAGAGUUCUCAUAGGGUCCCAGCUGAGCCCUGGAACUCCCCAGACCCCCUCUGCCACUCCAUCUCUGCGUCAGCCCAGCACCUGUGCCCUAUCCGGCUUUGGCCACCAUCUCCACCCUGGGGAGGGGGAGCAUAACCCCCUCCAGCCUGAGGUUGGCGCCAAGGUUUAGGAGCCAGCACAGAAGCCUCUGAGAGCCAUAAGGGUAGAAAAGGUUACCCGGUACUAAACCAGCCAGCCUCGGGGUGAUCUCAUCCACUUCCCAAGAUAAGCCCCCUCCCCCACCCUCUGGCCACUGGCCAACAGGGUAAGUCACGAGGGAGCUGGUGGAAGAGUGUGUGUGAGGGCUGGGGGAAGGAUUUCAACUUGGGGUCACACUGUACAUUCUGUUUUGUGAUCAAUUCCCCCCAACAUUUACAGUAUUGACAAUUAGCAGUUUCCUGUCAGAUAAACUAUAAAGAUCUUCCCCCAUCACUUUUUCUUUUCCUAAUUAUUUCUAAAGUCUGCCAGGAUGGACACAUCAGAAUCUCUUUGUCCAGCCCUUGAGGAGGACAUGUAAACAGUGUCCAGUUUCUCUUUCUUACAAACACCAGUGCCAUAACCAUUUUUGUUCAAAUCCUCUUACGCAAUUGCCUCUCUCUCUCUCUCCCUUUCUCUCUUUCUCUCUCCCUCUCUCUAUUUCUCACUCAGUUGAGAUAAAUUCUGCCUGGUAGCAGGUGGGAGGGCAGGCCUCACUGUGUGCCUGAGUAGUUCUGGGCCCUUCCCCAAGCCAGAGGUGCCAGGCCCAGGGCAGAGGCCAGUCCAGGGCCACAGGGUCAGGACAGUGGACAGGCUAUGGUCUGCUGGACUCUGCCUGCUCGAGGCGGGCUCCCCAAGCUUCCACCUGCUCUUGCCCACCCCCAGCCCCAAGGACUAGGCUGGCCUGGACACAGGGAAAGGCCAUAUACAGGGUAUCACAUGACCCAUGCGUGCACACAGCCCCCAAUCCCAGGCAUAGGCAGAGGUCCCAGCCUCAGGGUGGGGCCCCCACACUCCGUCCAAUUCACAUCUUGCCUAGUGCUCCCCAGCUCUUGCUAGAAUGCUUCCAUAGACCAACAGCUCACUCUCCCUCCUAAGUUGCUGCCCGGCCUUUGGGGAGCAGGUGGAGCACAUGCUUCUUAUCAAAUCAAUACCUAUUCGGUAGAAUCACAUGAUUGCUGAGGAAGGUUUGGAUUCAGACACCAGGGUUUCAAACUCGACUCUGCAUUUACUAUUUUUGUGACCUUGGGCACAACCUUUUACAUGCCCAGGCUCAGUUUCUUCAUCUGUAAAAUGGGUUAAUAAUACUUGAUCAUAGGGUUGCAUGAAGAUUAAAUGAGAUAAUACAUGUAAAGUGCUCAGCAAGGCUCACAGAUGUGACCUAGUUUAUGAUCACAAAUUAUCACAAAUUGAGUCCCUACUAUGUCCAGUUAACAGAGAGACUCCCUCACUGGAAGCAACUCAGAGUGGCUGAAGCACAGAAGUGGUAGAGGUAUGAGAUGGGGUUGAAGAGUGGGCAGGGCCAGGUCACACUCAGCCUUGCACAUCAUGAAGGGAUUGUGACAUUUUUCUGACUCCUUGGAAGCAGGGGAGGAUGGUGGGAGGCAGAAAUGGGAGGAUGUCACUGAAAGCUUUUAUUAUUUUUUUUAAUGAUUUGUUUGUUUGUUUGUUUGUUUGUUUUAGAGACAGGUCUCUAUUGCUCAGGCUGGAGUGCAGUG